rnacentral:rRNA from 1 species
CCUACGGGGGGCAGCAGUAGGGAAUAUUGCUCAAUGGGGGAAACCCUGAAGCAGCAACGCCGCGUGGAGGAUGAAGGUUUUCGGAUUGUAAACUCCUUUUGUUAGAGAAGAUAAUGACGGUAUCUAACGAAUAAGCACCGGCUAACUCCGUGCCAGCAGCCGCGGUAAUACGGAGGGUGCAAGCGUUACUCGGAAUCACUGGGCGUAAAGAGCGCGUAGGCGGGAUAGCAAGUCAGAUGUGAAAUCCUAGGGCUUAACCAUAGAACUGCAUUUGAAACUGUUAUUCUAGAGUAUGGGAGAGGUAGGUGGAAUUCUUGGUGUAGGGGUAAAAUCCGUAGAGAUCAAGAGGAAUACUCAUUGCGAAGGCGACCUGCUAGAACAUAACUGACGAUGAUGCGCGAAAGCGUGGGGAGCAAACAGGAUUAGAUACCCGUGUAGUC